UUACUUUGGUUGUUACGCAAAGUUUUAAUAUGUUUGUUUAAUAAUAUAAACACGUUUUCAUGUGUUUGAAGGUCGCAAAAGCUAAACAUAAGUGGCAACCACACUUUGUAUUACGUUUCGUCUCAUAUAUCAUGAAGAACAACUAAGUAUUUCAAGCUGGGAUCAUGCUGAGGAACCCCAACCAAGGAAAGCUGAGGCGAGGGCGAGUAGGUCCCUGAGGAGGACCACUGCAAAGAAAGGAGGUCAAGGAGAUUCUGGGAGCAACCUGCGAGCAACCUCUAGAUCAGCCAGCAGGCACCUCUGACAAUGCCGCUGCCGGUGUCGACGCUGGCAGCCAUGGCCGGCGCCGAGCUGACGAGUUCCAACCUGGAAGCUCAGCGCGAGGGGCUGGC
rnacentral:lncRNA from 1 species